rnacentral:tRNA from 1 species
ACGCUGAUGGUGUAUUGGUAACAUUAGAGCUUCCCAUUUCAUUGCAAAUGGCGGCUGGAAAGUCGGAAAAUGCUCUAGCACGGGGUUCGAUUCCCCGUCAGCGUA